rnacentral:lncRNA from 1 species
CACCAGCACACCUCACUGAGGGGGAAACUGUCCACCAGCACGCUGCAUCCAGCCCUGCUCUGUGAGACCACCUCAUUCCCAUUCAGUCUCUUUGUUGGCCAGGAGUCCAUAAUGCAAAUAAUUUCCCGCAUCUUCACUCUUCAUCUUCUCACCCGCUUCUGGACAACUCCUGACAUUCUGUGAUAUUCAGCAUUCACCAUAAACAUUGCAUGAUUCAGUUCUCCUUGAUAUCUUGGUGCUUGGACUCUUCACUGUUGGCAUCAUUAGGUCAGCAGGUGAACACUCAGGAUUGUUCCUCUUCUGUUA